ACUCUUGUGUCAUGCUGCCCAAGUAACCUUCAGCUGCUGCACAGGAACCUUUACAAGACACUUGAUUUUUCUCUGUCUGCUUUUGGAGUGAAACCAGACUUUGAAGUCUAGGGGUUUCCUCAUGGAAGCAAAUUCUUCAGUCAUUUCUCCAGAGAAUGAUCCUCUUGGCAACUUGGAACUAACUCCCACUUGUUGCAGAUGCAGGCAUAAAAUCAAAACUGGAGGAGAGAACUUCGUCUCUUCACAGUUCUUUCAUUCUUAAAGGAAACCUUUCCCCUCGGCUAUUUCCCCAAACUUACUGAAAUUCAAGUUCUUUGUAAGUAGAGCCUUCAGUUGGCUGAUAGGAUUUCUUCCAUGCCCUGGCUGGAGCACAGGACUAGAAAAGUUGAAGGAAUGCAACGUAUAGCACCAUUUUUAGGUGCAGCACUUGACUCUGCUCCCUUUUUGUUCACUCUGAAGUUUGUAUAUGACAGGUCAUGAGCCAGCACCACAAAUGCAUUUGGCUAACACAGAGGAUCUUGAAAGCAGUACGUACUUCUAGCACCCAUCAGAUCACGUAGUGUGCCAUCAUGACUUUCCCUUCUUAGUAUCUAUUAAAGUAAAUCCGCUGGGUAAUCCUUCAGAGAUAAUGAGCAGAAUGAUGGUAGUCAUAGAAACUGCUGCUUAAAUAUGUGUUUUGCACAAACUCCAGGGUAUGGCUAAUUAGGCAAGUGAUGGAAAUCUGUUUCAGCCCUGUAAGAAGACCUAUGCUGUGGAACCACUGUCAUUUUCUUAGCUCUGAGCAAGUUUGCUGUUCAAAAACUGUAUAAAUGCAUCUGUUCUUUAAAUGGGCUUGUUGGUACUGAAAUGAGGGGAACUUUUGAAUACGGGGCAUGGCCUCUGGAUAACAGAAUCGCGGAUGAGGAAGAAAUUAAGAGUAGAAAUAGAUACCUAACAUACAUACACGUUGUAUCAUAAAUAGGUUCUGUUAAGCAAUUGUUGAAUUCAAUACAUCUUGUUUGAGACUGCUUUUUGAAGUGAAUGUUCAGAGCUGUUUCUCUGCCAGCUGUAGGGCUGCUGGCUGUGCCUCCUUACAGCUUCAGGUUUGGAGAACUGCUCCCCAUAAAACGUGAAAGUUAGAAGAUGCUGCUUGAGGCAGAUGAAAGUAGUAACUGGCACACCUUAUGAGUGCUCUACUUACAAUGUCUUUGAAAUUUUGGGGCUCUUGUAGAAGUAGAGUGCAGACUUCAAGGAAACGAUGCGUUUAAGGCCUGUGUUUGCUUCCAUAUGACCUUUUGUUAUAGAGCUUUGCACGUGUCGAGCAAGAAUCACCUUAUGUUGUAAGGGGAUCUUUCUCUUCUCCAGGCAUUUUUCUUUGGAAACAGUAAUGGUGAAGGUGCAUUUGUGCUCCUGGAAACUAUAUUUAAAAUUAGAAAUAGUAACUGUAUUCACAUGCUACUACUGUCAGGUAUAAUCCAUAUAAUGGUUAUUUCUAAUGAUGUCAUGGAAGUCUUACUAGCAGAUAAGAAUACUUUUUCCUGUGAUUCAAGUGGUGACUGACAUUAUCUCAAUGGUAGUAGAUUUUAUUUUGAAUGUGAUCUUAUAGCUCAACGCAAAUUGUGCUGAAGUACUAUGUGUGCGUGAUGCUUUUUUUGCUCUAUUAAAAUAAUUUGUG
rnacentral:lncRNA from 7 species